CGACAAUCGGUUUAGGUUCAGGUACCUCAUUCAAGUUUGAACAUAGAACGGCGGGAACUAACGUAACGACUCGCGCAGGACGCCGCGGCUGGCUAACGGAGCAGACGUAGCGGUCUGAGGCGCCGCCGCCGUUCCCCCUGAGACCCAUAAUGAAUGCAGAGUGGGCAUCGCUGUGCGUGCGGACUGGGCGCGUGCAGAAGGAACGUUCCGGACUCCGAUUCCCAGCUAACGGCAAGCUCCACUACGGAUUUCCAUGGCAGCGAAAGCUGAGCAGCUCUGACUG